CAGAUACAGUGAUGAUAACAUAGUUCAGCAGAUUACCUCAUGAUGAGCAAUGUUCUGUCUUUUGCUCCUGUCUGAUGUAUCUA
rfam:Colinus virginianus strain Texas jcf7180006226673, whole genome shotgun sequence.